rnacentral:rRNA from 1 species
GUGAGGAAUUUUCCGCAAUGGGCGAAAGCCUGACGGAGCAAUGCCGCGUGAAGGAUGAAGGCCUAUGGGUUGUAAACUUCUUUUCUCAGAAAAGAAUUAUGACGGUAUCUGAGGAAUAAGCAUCGGCUAACUCUGUGCCAGCAGCCGCGGUAAGACAGAGGAUGCAAGCGUUAUCCGGAAUGAUUGGGCGUAAAGCGUCUGUAGGUUGUUUAAAAAGUAUUCUGUCAAAGAUUAGGGCUUAACCCUAGAUAGGCAGAAUAAACUUUUAAGCUAGAGUUUGGUAGAGGAAGAGGGAAUGCCCGGUGGAGCGGUGAAAUGCGUAGAUAUCGGGAGGAACACCAAAGGCGAAGGCACUCUGCUGGGCCAAUACUAACACUGAGAGACGAAAGCGAGGGGAGCAAAUGGGAUUAGAAACCCUGGUAGUCC